rnacentral:ncRNA from 1 species
UACUUUUGCACGUGCAAUAGGUUCACCAUCAUCGGUGAUGAAAAGGGAAUCGGGUGUAACUCCCGGACAGUCCCGCUGCUGUGAACCGUCCUUUUCGCGAGGCGAACGAUGUGCCACUGAUGCCGGUAUAGGGUCGGGAAGGUGUUCGCUUUCGGACGGUGUAGUCAGAAGACCUGCCAUUGUAUCAUGAUAUUU